AUUGAACGCUGGCGGCAGGCCUAACACAUGCAAGUCGAGCGGAUGAAGGGAGCUUGCUCCUGGAUUCAGCGGCGGACGGGUGAGUAAUGCCUAGGAAUCUGCCUGGUAGUGGGGGAUAACGUCCGGAAACGGGCGCUAAUACCGCAUACGUCCUGAGGGAGAAAGUGGGGGAUCUUCGGACCUCACGCUAUCAGAUGAGCCUAGGUCGGAUUAGCUAGUUGGUGGGGUAAAGGCCUACCAAGGCGACGAUCCGUAACUGGUCUGAGAGGAUGAUCAGUCACACUGGAACUGAGACGCGGUCCUGACUCCUACGGGAGGCAGCAGUGGGGAAUGUUGGACGCUGGGCGAAAGCCUGAUCCAGCCGUGCCGCGUGUGUGAAGAAGGUCUUCGGAUUGUAAAGCACUUUAAGUUGGGAGGAAGGGUAGUACGUUAAUACCUUGCUGUUUUGACGUUACCAACAGAAUAAGCACCGGCUAACUUCGUG
rnacentral:rRNA from 1 species